rnacentral:rRNA from 1 species
UGUCGUCAGCUCGUGUCGUGAGAUGUUGGGUUAAGUCCCGCAACGAGCGCAACCCUCGCCUUUAGUUGCCAUCACGUCUGGGUGGGCACUCUAAAGGAACUGCCGGUGACAAGCCGGAGGAAGGUGGGGAUGACGUCAAGUCCUCAUGGCCCUUAUGUCCUGGGCUACACACGUGCUACAAUGGCGGUGACAGUGGGAAGCCAGGUAGCGAUACCGAGCCGAUCUCAAAAAGCCGUCUCAGUUCGGAUUGCACUCUGCAACUCGAGUGCAUGAAGGUGGAAUCGCUAGUAAUCGCGGAUCAGCAUGCCGCGGUGAAUACGUUCCCGGGC